rnacentral:rRNA from 1 species
AUGCUUGAAGUGAGUCUGGUUCUUGCUUCAAUUCCCCCUGUUUCACCUCCAGAUCUACUCAUCGGGAGAUGGAUUCCUUGCAUUGAGAGGCUGGUAUCCAUACCUAUGCUGGACGUGGACGAAGUACACACAUGUACACGCAGCUUUUUUUUGAUCCUUUGCAUAUCAAAGCUUCAUUCAGACGAUGGACUGUCUUGCUCUACUUCAAAAUCGAAACAGGUGAGUCGUGUCCUUUUUAGGAUUGAACCAACUGAAGUGAAACCAAGAUACAGUUUCUGCAGCACUUAUGAGCAAAUUGUACAGGGGAAAGACAGGCGGCUGCUGUAG